rnacentral:rRNA from 1 species
GAUCAUGGCUCAGGAUGAACGCUAGCGACAGGCUUAACACAUGCAAGUCGAACGGAGUUUACAGGCAGAAGUUUUCGGAUGGAAGCUUGUAAACUUAGUGGCGGACGGGUGAGUAACACGUGAGCAACCUGCCUAUCAGAGGGGGAUAACGAUUGGAAACGAUCGCUAAUACCGCAUGACAUAGCGGAACCGCAUGGUUCUGUUAUCAAAGAUUUUAUCGCUGAUAGAUGGG